AUGAUAAUUGUACGGACUUUUCAGGUCUGGUUGUUUGCUAGUCCCAGUGGCCCCCACCUACAAAACACUCCCAUGCCUAAGGCUCCAGGGACAUUGUGUGAGAUGGGGUGGAAAGACUGUAAAAGCCAGAAGAUCAGGGAGAAGCCUAGUAGCAUCACAAGCCACACCCAUAAAGUCUUGCCAACAUGGCUGUUCAAACACAAGUUGAGCAAGGAUGACAAUAAUGGCUGCCAAAAUGGGUGUGGAAAGGCCCAUGAGGCCUCAAGCUUGCACGGAGAACUGAAAAAUGCCGGGAGUGGAACAGUCUUGCUAUAUAAACCAGGCAGAUGA
rnacentral:lncRNA from 1 species